CCAAACACAGCUUUAGAAUAAAAGUGUAUCAGUAGGAAAUCAAAACUCAGCUUAGUGGUUAGAUACGUGGCUUUUAACUAGAGAUAAUGACCCAGUAAUUUAGCAGAUGCUGGCAAAUAUUUAUUAUCCUAGCUCUACAAUUCAUCUUGGCUAUAACGUGAUUAACCGAGCUAGUAUGCUUAUAUAGCAGAGCUUCAAAUUCUUAAGGUCAGUUCUCUCUUAAGUAAAACACAAUUAGUGAUAUACAACUCUGAAAUUUCUCCGAGCUGGAUUAAGCAAAUAAGAGUUAGAAGAAUACCCAAAUUUUUGGGAUUAUUGAGGAAGAAGAGCAGAAGCAAAAUACAACGGAAGCUAACGUCACAGUGAAGUUGAAAAUUCAAAGGUAAUUCUCUCUAUAUCGUGUAUAUACAGAUGCAUGUAUAUGAAAGGAGUGUGUUGAUUGAUGGUGAAUUUUUGGUUGAUGAAAGUCUUUAUGAGUUAUAUGUCUGUGAUGUUGAGUUAGUUGGUCGUAAAGUAAAUGGGUAAGUUUAAUUUUUUUUUUUUAGCAAUCGAUCAUGAAUGGGUUAUUGAAACUCACUGUUUGCUAAUAUCAAACUUUUAGAUUAAAGGAAGGCUAGUAUGUAUUUGUUUAUUUUGUUUAUGAUAAAUAUAUUUGGCUAAAUUGUGAAACCAACUGCUAUGAAAAUAGUGUUUUAGAACAGUAAGUAUAAGAUGUUUGUUAGAAGGUUUUAAUGAACUGAUUUGCUCAACAAUUGCUUAUUUAUCAGAGUUUAAGUUUGGGUUAUAUAUAUAUAUGCCAUGUAUCAGGGUAAGUAACUUUUAUGCCUUGUUUAAUGGAAGGAAAACUAUUUUUUUUUUUUUNNNNNNNNNNNNNNNNNNNNNNNNNNNNNNNNNNNNNNNNNNNNNNNNNNNNNNNNNNNNNNNNNNNNNNNNNNNNNNNNNNNNNNNNNNNNNNNNNNNNGGAUUUUGAUAUGUCAAUUUGUGUUGGCAAACUGUUUUGAGCAGUUUAAAAUGUUGAAGCUUGUAUGUUUUGUUAUUUGAUUGCUAUCAGACCUAAAUCUACUGACACUUGGUAAUUAUGUAGCAAGCAAAAGAAGGGCGCUGGGGUGAUUUGAGUUGGCCGGGGCUGCUGCAGGCAGCAGCAGCUAGCGCCCAGCGCUGUGCUGCGCUAUGCUGCAGAGCCAGUCUGGCAGUUUGUCACUAAUUUGGUUUGCAUGUUAUAUGUAAUGGCUGUCAUGUGCAGGUUAUUUUAAGAAGUGGGUGCUCUAUUUUAUUUUUCUAGUAAAGGGUGAAAAUAACUUUAUCAUUAGAAGGCCAAAAAUGACAAGAACUAAGAACAGAGCUGCUGCCCAUGGCAGCAGCAGUGGCUGAGUAUAGCCUUGGGUGGGAAGUCCUUUAUUGGUGCCGGCCAGCUUGUGUCUCUUUGUAAUUGAUAUAUAUGUAUCAGCUAUGCAAUCCUCCAAAAACAUGUGCUAACAGAUUAGAAUAAAAUGGGGAAAAAUGAAACUAGGUAAGACAUGGAAUCAGCAAAGUAGAAGGCUGAUGCCCACUGGCAGUAGCAGUUAGUCCAUCCGGCAACAAGAGGUUAAUAGCAGAUGGGAAAUCUCAUUUAAUUUCCAUGUAUAGGUUAAAAGCUUAAAAACAAGAAUGAGAUGAGAUUUAUGUAAGCAAGCAAGCUAAUUUGGAGGUUUAGCUGCUGCCCUGAAACAGCAGCGUGUACUAAUACAACAACAAGUACAAGCCUUAGAUUGCUAACAGUAGAAAAAAAAGAAGAAGCCAGUUAGUUUUGUUUUGUAACUCACGCAAUGCGCGGUGUAUAAUAUUAGAUAAUUGUUAUGGCAGUUUUGGAACAACUCGACUUGUAUUGAAACCACUGCACAUUUGCAGAAAUAGUUAUUAACUAACCACUAAUGCAAUGCUAAGCUAUAAAGUCAGAUAUAGUUGACUAAUAACAUGAAAAAUAAAAUGUUAAGAAAUUGUUAAUGCAUGUAAGUGAGCUUCUCGACCCAUUUAGCUAAAUUAUAAUAAAGAACAAAUAUAUAUAUAUAUAUAUAAAAGAAGUAAAGGAGAUAUGAACUAAAUUAUGAGAGAUUCAUAAACAGAAAUUAUGUUAGACCUUAUAAAAGAAAAAAAAGGCUAUUAUAAGAACAUGAGUGAGAUAUUUGAAAAAUGUAUCUUAAGUAUGAAGUUAUCAACUAAAUGAUCACUGUGAUUAUGUGAUAUGUGCACAUAUGAGCUACAUGACUUGUUUAUUUGGCUAAUAUGCUUGUAAAUGCAAAUAAUUGUGUAGGAUCUGUGAGAUACACAAGUUAAGUUGAAAUUGUACAAAUAGUCUACAAGCAAGGCAAGUAUCUAAAUCUUACUCUUUAUUGAGCAAGUAUUUUGAGAUUAUUCAUAUGUUGACAGGUUCUCUAAUUUCUAAACUGUCUUUCAUUAUUUAUGAAUAUUGUAAGAUUGAAUAAUCUUUUUAUUCCAAUCAGCUUCAAAAGAUUGGGUAAGCUAUUAUCUUAUGCAUGAGCAGGUUGCAAAAAAGUCUGAGCCAUUCCUUUUGGCCAGACACAGCUAUGAAAUAUUUCAGUUUCUUUAUAUUAGUCUUGAAAUAUUAUUGUGCCAUGAUUUAAGUUGUCCAGCUAUAUUGUUGUAAUUGGAAUCUAAAACUGAGAAUGAACAUACCCUUAAAUGGGAUAUUUUUAUUGCACUCUGGGAGUGGUGAUGUAGAACAUGAAAAUUGUUCUAGAAAAGAUAGUAUUGUUCAAUACAGGGCAUAAAGGGUUGAUCACCCUACGUGCUCGUAAGUUAAGACGGUUCAUCUGAUAAAAUUUCUGAUUGAACCUUUUCAAGAAAAGAAAAAUAUGUUCAUGGUCUUAAAACCUCUCAGUUAUUCAAUGUUAUGAUAUUUCAGAAAUAUGAAUGACUCAAGAUUUAUUGCUUUACAGAUUUGAUUCACUGUCAAAGCAUGCUUCAAUGAAAAUAUUUAUUUCUUGUUGAGCCUUAAAAAAUGCUAUUAUUUGCUGAGUAAUUAAAUGCUCAUACUUGUUUUAUUAUAAAUGUUUUCAGCUGAGUAGACUCGGGCAGAAGGGUCUGGAAAAGGCAAGGGAAAAGGAAAAAUAGUAGAAUAGCUGAGGGUUGAUGUAAUAGUUGGUUUACAUGUUUUAAAUACUAAACUAUCAUGUAAUAAACGUGUAAAGGUCUACGUAUCUGGGACUAGAAGAACUUUGAUGUAAUAACUUUACUAGUUUAUGAUUAUUGUGUUCUGAACCUUUUAUAUUGUGAGCACUGAAUAAGGGUUUCAAGUAUCCGAAUUUGGGGGCGUCACAGAUUGGGCUGAAGAAUCUAAGCUCUAUGGUCUUUAUAUCAUCCUCAUUUGAAGUGGCUGAGAAAUGAUUAGAACUAGGGUUUUAAAAAAUUAUCGAAAUUGGCUUCGAUUAGGGGUGUAACAUUAAGGCUUUUGUUGGGUUUUUGCUUUUCAGGUUAGUGCGAACCAAGCGUUGAUCUUAUAUGAUUACAUCACGUUCAAGAUCUGCGUCAAUUGCUUCAAAACAGCGGAUGUAUUUUUGUUUCCAAAAAGGAUGGAUCAAGAGUAAGAAGAUUUUAUAGCUACCGCAAUUAUGGGGUAAGUGUCCUUUCCUUAUUUGUUGUGAAUUCAGUCAUCUCUCAUCUGUUUUGAUUUUUUUUUCCUUUUUCCAUUUUUGAUAGGAUUUUGUGAGAUAUUGUGACUAUUUGUGAAUGAUUGGAAUUGCCUUGUAAUGAAGAUGAAGCAAUGGAAUGUGAUGAAUAACAAAAUUGAAGAAUUGAGCUUACUGAAAAAUAUGAAAAGGGAAACACUUAAAUGGAAGAUGGAGAUUGAUAGGCUUAAAGAGGCAAUUCAACAAUAAAUCAAUUAAGUUUUCUUUUGUUUUUGAGUUUAUAAAAUAAAAUGUGAUUUUUGAAUUUAGAUUACUGCUUAAGAAUUUGGAAGGAGGGUCCAUUUAAGCCUGCAAGUAAUGAGUAAUUCAAGGACCGUGAGCUAUACAAAUCAUUUCCCCACGUCAAUUUUAAGUCGGUGAACAUGGAUGGACUAAUGGAUAAUGUCAGUUAUUGAAAAGCCCGCGUAAAAUGAAAAGUUAGCCUGUUAGGUGGGAAUUAUUAAUAAUAAUGCGUAUGAAUGAGGUUGUGCCACGACUUUGAAAUACUCCCCAUCUUAUAAUAAAAAGAGUCUCAUUUAAAUUUUUUUAAAUUAUAAAUUUAAUAGUUAUGUGAAUUUAUUUAAGUAUUUAAAAUAAUAAAUCUAAUUAAUAUUAUUUUUUAGAUAAUUUAUAAUAUUUGUAAUUAAAUUAGGGGAAAAUAUUUGAAUUUAUAUCAAUUUUUAAAUUUGAAAAUUGUUAAGUCAUUAUAAAGAUCUUAUUAUAUAAGCAAGCUCUUAUUGCAUAAUGAAGCCGAAUAAAUGUUUAAUAUUAUAUUUAAAAGGAAUUAAGUUAAUCGUGCCAAUAAAAAGAGCAUAAAAAGAAAGAGGGUUUGAACAUAAAUUUUUGUUUACUAGAGAAUUUGAAUCAUUUGCAAUUAUUUUUUUUGAGUGCUGAUAUAUGUAAAACUUUAAAAUUAAUAAAUUGAACGUCUUAUAUGUAUAUAUACUCUCUAUUUCAAUUUAUAAAGUUAUUAUUAAUUUUAUUAAUAAAAUUCAUUAAGUAUUACAAAUUAAAUCUUAUUUUUAGAUAUUUUACGACAUUUAUUUUAUAUUAGAUUGGGUAUACACUAGUCAAUGUUGACUUGAUGACUUGUGGUGGUGUGCCAUUACAGUCUAGAGCUGUUAAACCUGAAAAUGAAAACCAGACUCACUAGACUUUCUCUAGUUGACCGACUUGUAACCAUGAUUGACCGACUUCUGAUCUUUGCUUUUCUAUCAAUUACUCACGCAUUACCACAUCCACACAACACAACGUAUCCUUAGGGGGACUCAAUAUCUCAACUUUUAGUAUCAUCUAUAUUUAUAAGAACAUAAUGCUAUAAUCUUCAAUAUCACUUGAAAAAAAUGGGACAAAUUUAAAAAUAAACUUAAUGUAUUAAUUACAUGUUACCAUCACCAGAUCAAUUCACCAUCAUGGCAAUUGCCAUGUCUUUUUGAAGAGACUGUCCGAAAUUUAAUUUUUAGAGCUAUUCAAAAGAGGUUCAACUGGACCCUUUACAAAUCAUAUAUACACAAUAUAUAAUUGCAUCACUCGACAGACAAGUCAACUGAAAAAGUAUAGACUAGAGAACUUAGCUAAGAAAGAAAGAUUGCAAAAUUAAAUAGACAAGAAUAAAUGUAGUAGUAAGUACAACAGAGAUGAGCCAGUGUCUAAGAAUUAGUAUAUUAUAAUUAAACAGCUUACUUAUUUCUUUCUUCAUUUAAGUUGCGUUGUGCUACAAAAGUGUUUAAAAAUACUAGAAAGGUUACAUUUGGAUUGAUAUCCUCUUCUACUAGCUAGUUAAAUAUAUAGCAUGAAACAUUUGCUUAAAAAACAAUGACAGUUACAUGUAUUUAUUCUGCUUCAGAAAUAACUUCCAACUCCUUAUUAAGAGCUCCGGCAGGCCUAGUGGAACGAUCCAUUUGAAGAGUAGAAGCAAAAGGAUUUGGUGGCACAGUG
rnacentral:lncRNA from 1 species